UUCUGCUGGGAGCUGCUUCGUUUGACGCUGUUAAAUAUCAAAUGACGAUGAGUCACAUUCCAGACUAAGCAGUAAGUACGAGUUCGAGUUACCUAGUUUUCCAUCAUCGCUCAAAAUGUUUUUGACGUGAGAACUUAUCUGCGAUGACGAUGGAAGUUGAGUUGAUUAGGUAUUUCCUAUCCGGAUAUUUCAUGAAUCAUCGAUAAGAUAAUAACUUCAAAAAUAUAAAAUUAGUUUGUAAAAUAUUAUAUUUGUUAGAUCUAUGCUUAUGUUAUUGUAAGUACAGUAAUCCAGAGUUGAAUUUGAUGUGAUUAAUCUCAUUAAAUAAUUUCACAAGUGAACUGGAAAUUUUACAAGAGUUUCUCCGAUUCCUACCAGCAGACCAGAUCUGGCAAUCCAAAAUUCCAGUCAAACAAUCUAUCCACGUCUUGAAAUUUUGAACAUUCCAGAUCCUCUUCCUACGUGCGUUUUUACGCAAUGGAUGACUUAACAGAAUAUGAAAUUCUUCGUGUACUAGACCUCCUUAGAAAAUUUGUAAUCGUUCCAUCAACUUUAAUAUGUCUGGUUAUCCAUUUUUAUAAAUUUUUUCGAAGUGGUAAACCAUCCACGAAAAGCUUGGCGACUAAAAACCUCACUUUUUACUGCUUUCUUCUAUUCUUAUACAUUACUCUUCCUAUACUGCUGAUGGAUAAUUUAUUCUCACAAAUAGAUCAUUUUCAGUUACAUUUUACCACAUACAUGAAUUUAUCAAUGGUGAUUUUCAAACUAAUUAUGGCCCUAGAUACAUGCUUAAGUUUUCGCAGAAUUGCUUUGUACUUGCAAAGACCUCCCUCAAACGAUGGACACAGAAAAUUUUACCUUUAUUGUUUUUUCACGAUAAGUAUUCCUCUACUUUGGGUUUUACUGUCGACUCAAUUGAUAUGUCCAACGCACCAGCUUUUCAUUGAAAAUUGUGCUUACAAAGCCCUGAAGUACUGGUAUCUCGAGGAGACAAUAUUAAGUGUUAUUCGCGUCUCUCGAUUAAUUUUAAUCGCAGGAGCGGUUUGGUACAUACGAUCAGCCAGCAUCAAUAAAACCGAAUUAUGGUCCAGGUUUUCGCUUCAUGUGCGUCUUCUCACUAUGCUCGGAGGUUUAGCUGCUUGUUUCGGUGUUUUACAGCUGUACUCGUUGAUUAAGCUUUUUAAAGCGAUUUUUAUCGGUGGAACUGAGGAAGGUAACUCGGAAAUGAUACGCAUGCAACUUGAUUUCGCACGAAUGCAGGACAUUGGCGUUGAUAUAGAAGGUAUUCUUAUUGGAAUAUUCUUUACAUUCAAGAAAGAUACGUUUCGAUCAACUCAUAGUACAUCUCAUUAAUUAUUCUACCUAAUUAUCAUUUAAGUAAGUUAUGGAAGUAGAUGCAGUAAGUUUUACUGAAGUGUUCAUAUGUAUUAUAAUUUUAUAAAAAGCUUGAUUUAUCUAUUUUUAAUCAACUAAGUAUACCUAAAUAUAAUCUGUCAAUGCGAUUUUUCAAGCAUUUAUUUACUUACUGUCACAAACCUGGGAACUGUGUAGUUAUUUUCAACAAGAAAAGUUUUCUAAUGGCCAAAAAAAAAAAAAAAAAAAAAAAAACAGAAAAA